UUCUUCACUUCGUCUCUCUCCUCUCUCAUCUUCUUCACGUUUCUUAUCUCUCCUCUCUCAUCUUCUUCACGAUUCUCUUGAUCUGCAUCAAUUUUUCUCCCAAAUUUUCAUUGCUAAUUCUUUCGUUAAUGUUAUGUUGAUUUCUUUGAUGAUUUUUUUGGUUUAGUUGAUUUGAAAUUGAGUAAUUUUAUGGUUGCCCUGUGAACUUAGGGUUUCGUUGUUGAUUCUUUGCAGAUAACUGUGUAAUUUUGGAGAUGAACAAAGAUCGACCAUCUGCUACUCUUGAUUUCUUCAUCUGCAAUGUUGAGGUGACGAUUUAAUUUUCACUGUUUAUUUUUUUCCGCUCUCAAAUUGGCGAGUUUGGAAUUAGCGUUUAUGAUUUCACGGAAGAUGACGAAUUGACCGAAACUCUUCAGCAUUAUUGUGUCUAAUCGACAACAUCUCCCUUCUUUUCCAGUAGCGGCUUUCGGUUAUUGGCGUUAUAUUCCAAGGGGUCUGUUUUGAUUAUUAGAUGGAUGGGAGGUUCAUUUGGUGUAGUUUCUCUCUCCUCUGUGACAUAUUCUCAAUGGCAGCGAGCCUCGAGUCACCAUUGCAAGCUUCAGCAGCAACCUCAAUUGCCAAGCUAGACACCUCAACCUUACUUCUUCUCGGCUUCCCAUCUCCAAUUCUUCUGCCCGCGAUAGGAUGUUUAUGCAAAGGAGAGUGUUUGGCUAAGAAAGUGAAAGGUUUUGAAUCCCCUUUUGAUGAGUUUGAUUGCACCUUGAAGAACCGAAAGUGAAGGAUAUUGUCAUGAAUGUGAAUUCUCCGGGAGGGUCAGGUCACUGGUAUGGCAAUAUUUAACACAAUGUGGCACAUCCGACUUGAUGUCUCCACUAUAUGUCUUGGACUCGCAGCAAGGUUCUUGCGGAAAGAGCUUAUCUUUUGGGUGUGGAGCAAAAGUGUGUUAGAGUGAACUCUUUUGGAAUAGAGGAGAAUAUUGGAGCAACUGGCUGAUACAGCAGGGCUUCAAGUUGUUGGCUCUACUUAUCAAAAGUGGUGAUCGAUAAUGACAUUGUGCAAAUCACAAUUGCAAAUCCAGAGGACCAUCUAUUAGGGGUGCACUAUGAUGAAGUCAAUAACUCUUGACGCUCCUAAUAAGGAAUCAAAUAGAGGGUAUUGGGAUGUCGUUUGGGAUACAAAAGAUUACGAUGGCACUUACUGGUUAUUAGGAUCAAAGUUUAAUUUGACUGUAGAAAAUGAAGACCAAGUAGAAGUUUCAUUUGCAUAUAAAUGUGAUUCAACCACUUGGAACACGUUAGAAGAUCAUUACUAGAGAAUUCCAGCUAAUCUAGACAGGAGAUUUCAAUAUAUGGCUAUUUCGGAUGACAGGCAAAGGAUCAUGCCUUUGCCACAUGAUCGCGCGUCAGGCCUUCCGCUUGCCUUCAAAGAAGCUGUUCUUUUGACUAAUCAGUAAUCCCACUAAUCCGGAUUUGAGAGGUCAGUGAAGAUAGAGAUUUGCCAUUUGCUGGCUUAGGGGUAGUAGACACUACUCUAAAUAGUCGACUUGAGGAAGCAGUUGACUAAUAGUCUACUUGAGGAAGAUUAAUAAACAACAUUAUUCUUACCAAGCUAACUAAGAUUUAAGAGUACAUUCUUCUGAGGAGGGAGUUAGUCUCAAACUUUCUAGCAUAGCAUUUAGGACAUCCUCAUACUUUGCUUGUACAUUAUUAUUUCUCAUGUAAAGUAGGAUGUAAGCAAAAGCCGUCCUGGUGCAAAUAUUAAUAAUCAUGACUAAUUGAGUUGAUACUUGAUAUGUAGUUCUAGAACUAAGCUAAAGCGUAGCUUACAAUAUAUGGAAUGCAAUUGUGCAAUUCUUUGAGAAGCAUUAUUUAUGAACUUGUAUUACAUUUAUUCUUAAUAUUUGUGCAUACAAAGGAAUUCCAAUUCCAUUACACAACCUACUUAAUGUUAGCAGUGGUGUGCCACAAAAACAACUUAAAAAGUCGAAAUGUAUUAUGUAGAGUUAAAAAAAGGAGUAUAACAUAAAAUCUUAAAAAACAUAGUGCUAUCCCAUAGAAAAACCCAUUUAUUUCACAACAAUCAUCACAUAGCCAUGUUACACAAUAAACACUUGAGAUAACAUAGCAAUAUGUUUUUACCCAUAAAUACAAAGUAAUCUUACAUUAACUAAUAAUAAUUAAAAUACUUCGUCUAAAGUAAUAACACUAUCAAUUUCAUAACUAAAUUUUAAUAAUAACCAUUAUUUGUAUGUUUGAAACUCUUUCUUUUUUUUUUGUCAAACCAACCUUUAUUUUGGGAAACAAAUUCAAAACGGUAUUUUUAAACCUUAAAUUGCAUAUAGACAAAGUACUUUCUAUAACUAAAUGUAAUGUAGCAAUGACAUACAUAAGAAUAUAACGUCCAAAAAAUUAAUAUAUUGCACCGCAAAAAUUAUAAUGUUUAAAUAGACAUACAAGGACACUUGUGAUUAUUUUUUUUACGAUCACUAAGGUUACCCACCUUCCUGGUGUUGAAGUUGGUUGAAACAAAUGCAUUGCUUUGACAGUUCUAAAAUUAUUAGGAUUAGUGCAACAAAAAUCAUAGUUAGAUAAAAUGGAAAGAACUAACCAAUUUUUUCUUUUACUUCAACAUAAAAUUGUGUAAGAUGUGAACUAAUCUUACUGAUUUUGCACAUUCAAUUAAAAGAAGCCUCUUGCAUCAUAUUGUAGACAGUAAAACCCAGCCAAUGUGUAACCAAUAGGAUUAUUAGAAGCCUUCUCAGCUAUCCAAGAGCUGCUUCACACGUCUCAUCUCUUCAUUGAGGUGCUAAGCCCACAU